AGCGUACACGGUGGAUGCCCUGGCAGUCAGAGGCGAUGAAGGACGUGCUAAUCUGCGAUAAGCGUCGGUGAGGUGAUAUGAACCGUUAUAACCGGCGAUUUCCGAAUGGGGAAACCCAGUGUGUUUCGACACACUAUCAUUAACUGAAUCCAUAGGUUAAUGAGGCGAACCGGGGGAACUGAAACAUCUAAGUACCCCGAGGAAAAGAAAUCAACCGAGAUUCCCCCAGUAGCGGCGAGCGAACGGGGAGGAGCCCAGAGCCUGAAUCAGUGUGUGUGUUAGUGGAAGCGUCUGGAAAGGCGCGCGAUACAGGGUGACAGCCCCGUACACAAAAAUGCACAUAUUGUGAGCUCGAUGAGUAGGGCGGGACACGUGGUAUCCUGUCUGAAUAUGGGGGGACCAUCCUCCAAGGCUAAAUACUCCUGACUGACCGAUAGUGAACCAGUACCGUGAGGGAAAGGCGAAAAGAACCCCGGCGAGGGGAGUGAAAAAGAACCUGAAACCGUGUACGUACAAGCAGUGGGAGCCUCUUAAUGGGGUGACUGCGUACCUUUUGUAUAAUGGGUCAGCGACUUAUAUUCUGUAGCAAGGUUAACCGAAUAGGGGAGCCGAAGGGAAACCGAGUCUUAACUGGGCGUUAAGUUGCAGGGUAUAGACCCGAAACCCGGUGAUCUAGCCAUGGGCAGGUUGAAGGUUGGGUAACACUAACUGGAGGACCGAACCGACUAAUGUUGAAAAAUUAGCGGAUGACUUGUGGCUGGGGGUGAAAGGCCAAUCAAACCGGGAGAUAGCUGGUUCUCCCCGAAAGCUAUUUAGGUAGCGCCUCGUGAAUUCAUCUCCGGGGGUAGAGCACUGUUUCGGCAAGGGGGUCAUCCCGACUUACCAACCCGAUGCAAACUGCGAAUACCGGAGAAUGUUAUCACGGGAGACACACGGCGGGUGCUAACGUCCGUCGUGAAGAGGGAAACAACCCAGACCGCCAGCUAAGGUCCCAAAGUCAUGGUUAAGUGGGAAACGAUGUGGGAAGGCCCAGACAGCCAGGAUGUUGGCUUAGAAGCAGCCAUCAUUUAAAGAAAGCGUAAUAGCUCACUGGUCGAGUCGGCCUGCGCGGAAGAUGUAACGGGGCUAAACCAUGCACCGAAGCUGCGGCAGCGACACUAUGUGUUGUUGGGUAGGGGAGCGUUCUGUAAGCCUGUGAAGGUGGCCUGUGAGGGUUGCUGGAGGUAUCAGAAGUGCGAAUGCUGACAUAAGUAACGAUAAAGCGGGUGAAAAGCCCGCUCGCCGGAAGACCAAGGGUUCCUGUCCAACGUUAAUCGGGGCAGGGUGAGUCGACCCCUAAGGCGAGGCCGAAAGGCGUAGUCGAUGGGAAACAGGUUAAUAUUCCUGUACUUGGUGUUACUGCGAAGGGGGGACGGAGAAGGCUAUGUUGGCCGGGCGACGGUUGUCCCGGUUUAAGCGUGUAGGCUGGUUUUCCAGGCAAAUCCGGAAAACCAAGGCUGAGGCGUGAUGACGAGGCACUACGGUGCUGAAGCGACAAAUGCCCUGCUUCCAGGAAAAGCCUCUAAGCAUCAGGUAACAUCAAAUCGUACCCCAAACCGACACAGGUGGUCAGGUAGAGAAUACCAAGGCGCUUGAGAGAACUCGGGUGAAGGAACUAGGCAAAAUGGUGCCGUAACUUCGGGAGAAGGCACGCUGAUAUGUAGGUGAAGCGACUUGCUCGUGGAGCUGAAAUCAGUCGAAGAUACCAGCUGGCUGCAACUGUUUAUUAAAAACACAGCACUGUGCAAACACGAAAGUGGACGUAUACGGUGUGACGCCUGCCCGGUGCCGGAAGGUUAAUUGAUGGGGUCAGCGGCAACGCGAAGCUCUUGAUCGAAGCCCCGGUAAACGGCGGCCGUAACUAUAACGGUCCUAAGGUAGCGAAAUUCCUUGUCGGGUAAGUUCCGACCUGCACGAAUGGCGUAAUGAUGGCCAGGCUGUCUCCACCCGAGACUCAGUGAAAUUGAACUCGCUGUGAAGAUGCAGUGUACCCGCGGCAAGACGGAAAGACCCCGUGAACCUUUACUAUAGCUUGACACUGAACAUUGAGCCUUGAUGUGUAGGAUAGGUGGGAGGCUUUGAAGUGUGGACGCCAGUCUGCAUGGAGCCGGCCUUGAAAUACCACCCUUUAAUGUUUGAUGUUCUAACGUGGGCCCCUUACCGGGGUUGCGGACAGUGUCUGGUGGGUAGUUUGACUGGGGCGGUCUCCUCCUAAAGAGUAACGGAGGAGCACGAAGGUUGGCUAAUCCUGGUCGGACAUCAGGAGGUUAGUGCAAUGGCAUAAGCCAGCUUGACUGCGAGCGUGACGGCGCGAGCAGGUGCGAAAGCAGGUCAUAGUGAUCCGGUGGUUCUGAAUGGAAGGGCCAUCGCUCAACGGAUAAAAGGUACUCCGGGGAUAACAGGCUGAUACCGCCCAAGAGUUCAUAUCGACGGCGGUGUUUGGCACCUCGAUGUCGGCUCAUCACAUCCUGGGGCUGAAGUAGGUCCCAAGGGUAUGGCUGUUCGCCAUUUAAAGUGGUACGCGAGCUGGGUUUAGAACGUCGUGAGACAGUUCGGUCCCUAUCUGCCGUGGGCGCUGGAGAACUGAGGGGGGCUGCUCCUAGUACGAGAGGACCGGAGUGGACGCAUCACUGGUGUUCGGGUUGUCAUGCCAAUGGCACUGCCCGGUAGCUAAAUGCGGAAGAGAUAAGUGCUGAAAGCAUCUAAGCACGAAACUUGCCCCGAGAUGAGUUCUCCCUGACUCCUUGA
rnacentral:rRNA from 1 species